rnacentral:misc_RNA from 1 species
UUUCCGUAGGUGAACCUGCGGAAGGAUCAUUACUGAGUGAGGGCCCUCUGGGUCCAACCUCCCACCCGUGUUUAUUGUACUUCGUUGCUUCGGUGAGCCCGCCUCACGGCCGCCGGGGGGCAUCUGCCCCCGGGCCCGCGCUCGCCGAAGAAACCCUUGAACUCUGUCUGAAGUUUGCAGUCUGAGCGAAAACUAAAUAAGUUAAAACUUUCAACAACGGAUCUCUUGGUUCCG